GAUGAACGCUGGCGGCGUGCCUAAUACAUGCAAGUCGAGCGAAUGGAUUAAGAGCUUGCUCUUAUGAAGUUAGCGGCGGACGGGUGAGUAACACGUGGGUAACCUGCCCAUAAGACUGGGAUAACUCCGGGAAACCGGGGCUAAUACCGGAUAACAUUUUGAACCGCAUGGUUCGAAAUUGAAAGGCGGCUUCGGCUGUCACUUAUGGACGGACCCGCGUCGCAUUAGCUAGUUGGUGAGGUAACGGCUCACCAAGGCAACGAUGCGUAGCCGACCUGAGAGGGUGAUCGGCCACGCCGGGACUGAGACACGGCCCAGACUCCUACGGGAGGCAGCAGUAGGGAAUCUUCCGCAAUGGACGAAAGUCUGACGGAGCAACGCCGCGUGAGUGAUGAAGGCUUUCGGGUCGUAAAACUCUGUUGUUAGGGAAGAACAAGUGCUAGUUGAAUAAGCUGGCACCUUGACGGUACCUAACCAGAAAGCCACGGCUAACUACGUGCCAGCAGCCGCCGUAA
rnacentral:rRNA from 1 species